CAUGAGCUCGUUUUUCAACCUUACUUUUUCUGCUGGGUGCUGGACAACACGAAACGAUAAGGCGAAGCUAUGAAAGCUCCGUAGUUGGAGAAAGACGAGGCAAGAAAGCGUUGCUUCAAUCCGAAAUCGCCAAGAAAUUGAAAAAUCAACACUACAAAUCAACGUCGAAAAAUCAACACUGAAAAUCUCGAGCAUUAUUCGAGGGGGUGGAGAGAUAGUUUUCCUUUGGGGUUCUUCAAUUUGGGGUCGUGUGGCUAGAAGUGUAAGAGAGAGCUCUUCAAUUUGGGGUUGUGUAAGAGAGAG
rnacentral:lncRNA from 1 species